GGCAGAGUGACAAUACAGUUCAAGUGCCUUCCUUACUCAUUCAUGAUCAGUGGCGGAAUGAUAUGUAAAAAAUAUGAAUGGUAAAGCGGUUACUGUUACAAUACUAGUAGAAUAUAUCAUGACUAUCAGCCAAUCAGAUUCGAGAACAAGAAAUAACUGUUGUAUAAUUAGUUUUAUACUAACUAUAUAAAUUAUAUUUAAUGCAUUUUCUCUCUGAUUUUGCACAUUUGCAAUAUUUCCAUAUAUUGGGCAGCCCUACUUCCAACCUCACCAUUUUAUAUGAAAGUAAAGUUGAUUAAUUUCUGAUUUUUUUUACUUCACUUGUUCCAUUUUAGGCAACGUGCCACAGAGAUUCUAAUGGAGCUCACCAAAAAAAUUUAUUAUGAGAAUUAUCAGUCAUCUAAUAUGAUAAAUGCCUGCAGAAUUUAUAUUUACGGCUCUGCAUGGCGUGCAUUCUCUAGAAGAUUGUUCGCUCCUUUUAAACCCUUGGGAGUCGUGUUUAUGGAUUUUUCCGAUAACCCAGAAGGGGCAGUGGAUGAUGGAGGCCCAACAAGGGAAUUUUGCAGUUUCCUUAUGAAGGAUAUACAGAGCGGGAGCCUGUUUGAAGGGCCCGAUAAUUCAAAGUUACUGGCCCUAGAUAGCCAUGCUAUCUCAAAUGGGGAGUACAGAAUGAUCGGACAAAUGAUCAGUGUCUGCCUUUUACAUGGUGGUGUAGCACCCCACUUCUUUGCCCCACGACUGUUCAAUCUGGUUGUGGGUGAAGCUACAGAGACUGUUGACCUCAAAGAAAUUGUCGAUGAAGGGUUCAGGAGCCAGCUGCAGAAGGCACAUGUUUUUGUUAAUGCUGAUUGGAUAAUGCAGUCUUUCUGCCAAAGUACAAGUUGAUAUGUUACUAAAACAUAAUACAUUUUUAGAUACAAGAUGCCAUAAACAUUGAGGAGACCAGGGAGGCUUAGAACAGGCUUCAAACAGCCUGUCUCUCCUUGGAUCCUUAAAUAUCCAGUGUCGGACUCUUGAGGACAGGGAGACCGUCAUCCAGUGUGCAGCCAAGUUUUACCUGGAGGGGCGCCUUAAUGCUGCACUAGAACAGUUUGUGGAUGGUCUGGGAUGCUUGGGUUUGCAUACUGCAAUGAAGGACAUUUUAACCAUCUUCGAUAUCUGUUCCUGGCUAAAGACAAGACGCUGACUGCCAAGGACCUUAUUGAUGUUUUUACCACACAAUUCUCAGAGGAGGGAAGCAACCGCAGGCAAAAUGAAAUUAAAAACUACGCCUGGUUCCGUGACUUCUUGUUGGAUGUGGAAGAUAUGAGGUCAAUAGUAAGCAAAACUAUUUAGCAAAUACCUCAUUUAUGAUAUUUUUAUUUAAGAUAUUUACAUUAUGUGCCACAGGUGGAGAAAUGCAUGUGGAAGAGAGUAAAAACCUUACUCUGCAGGAGGUCUUCGCCUUUGCUUGUGGGCUGGAGGAGUUGCCCCCCCCCCUGGGAUUCAAAAACAAACCAAUCAUUGAGUUUCUGCACACAGACCGCAAAUUCCCUGAGGCAAACACGUGUGCCGUAGUUCUCCGUCUACCUAUUCAUAGGAGCUAUGACGAGUUCUGCAACCACAUGUGCAGUGGGAUAUUGCAAGCUCCAAUGUUUGGGAUGGCAUAAGUUAGGUGAUCCUUAGCACAGUUAAGUUAGUUAUACAAAGCCCUCCACUAUUGUUCCAUAUGUUUUUUCCUAUCAGUUAUUUUUCAAUUCUACCUACGCUGCAAGUCUGCUCAUCACAGAGUGAGCAAUGUUGUUCCUGUAGUUGUUCUCUGUCUAUAACAACACAUGUUGUGGCAUGUUUGAAUAGUUGCACGUUAAAGGGACCGUUCACACAAAAUGUACCCUCUCUCAUGUUGUUACAAUCCUAUAUAAAUUUCUUAGUUCUGAUUAACACAAAUGAAGAUAUAUGAGGAAUGUUUGUAAACGAACCAUGCAUGAACUCCAUUAACUUACAUACUACUCUUUUUGUUACUAUAGAAGUGAAUGGGGGUCAGGAACAGUUUGUUUACAAACAUUGUAACAACAUAAGGGUACAUAAUGACAGAAUUUUAAUUUGAUUGGUGAACUGUCUUUAAAACGGGUCACCAAUCCUGGUCCUGGAGGGCCGUUGUCUCUGCAGAGUUUAGCUCCAUCUGCAGAGACACCGGCCAUCCAGGACCAGGAUUGGUACCCCUUCUUUAAAAUGACAAAGUUCUGUUGUAAAACAAACAUCCUUCAUGUACGAUGCUACAUGGCUCCAACUCAAAUAAAUUCGU